GAGAGACCUGAAACAGGCGGUACACCGGAGACGGCAAUCCUCACCUAUUAGAUCCGACGCUAAACAAAGACGAUUCCUUUUGCAGUUACGACCUCAACCUCAAACCUUUGACCUGGAGCAUGCUAUUUUCUCUAGUUGAUGAUCCGUUGUUAAGACGAAUGCAAAUCUUAUAAUGGAAUACUGGGGUUUGAGGAAUUUUCCCGUGCUCUCUCUGUCUUUCAUCGAAAUACUCCUAUAGAAGACAAGAUUGACUAACAAUUUCGUUUCAGCUAUAUGAUCUUAAGCAGCAAGGUUUUAAUCGAAAGGCAGGAGGUGAAACAAAUGGUGGUGGCUACUCUUGCUGAGU